ACAGAGCCUGGGGUCCUCAGCCAAGCACCUGGGGUGUUGGGCAAGUCUGCUUCUCCCAGGCUCAAGCGGGGCCCCCGGGAGCUCUGACAUGGCCUUCACCGCCGCAGAGCCCUUGGGCGUCCCAGGGACAAGCUCCUCUCCAACCAGCAGGCAGCCUCUCAGCAGUCUGAGAGCCUGCAGAGCCUGAGAUGACUGUCAUGCACAGAUUAAAAAUAACAGCGUGGAUCCCUUCCCACUGCCGCACCCCAGGACCUUCUGUGGUUCCGAGCCCUGCAGGGCAAGCUCAGGAAUUCACGGCCACAGAUCUGAGAUGGGGAGACAGGUGGAUCAGAAGCACCUUGGGCACUUGGUCCAAUUCCCUCGCUUCUCUCCUCGGACCCAUGAGAAGACAGCAGGCUCGUGGACCAGAAGCUGUUUCAGGAAUGGACUUAAAUUCGAUCCCUGCCACAGCCCCGUGGGGGAGGCCAGAGCGGGUGUGCCCAUCCCAUCUGUCAGGACAAGGUCGGCCAUCUAAGCUCCUGGACGGGGUGCUGGAAGCGCACAGAGAGAGCAUUAGAGAAACAGGUGGAGUCCUGUUUUACUGACCGACGGAAUUGGUUAAAGCGACGCUCAGGUGGUAAAGAACCCACUUGCCAAUGCAGGGAAGGGGAACGCUGUUCAGACUUGAAGCCAACGGGCCCACUUGGGAAAUCUCCUACCCCAUCAGCUUGGAAAUUUCCUGCCCACAGGCCUAUAGAUGGAGGAGGGCGUCACCACCCCCGAAAGGCUUUUCUGAGAAAGAGCCAGGGACAGCCAGCUGUCUGCACGACGAGAAUGGACACCGUCUCCCGGAUCAUGCAAAUCCAGUCUGUCUCCAUCACUUGUCCUUGGGCCGAGCGCAGAGGCCACCGGCCCACUGGGCCCCCUCUCAGAAAUUCUGCACCGCUGUGAGUCCAGCCCUGACAACAAAGCCCACUGCCUUUCUUUUUUCCUUUAAACUGGAAUAUAAUUGCUUUACAAUGUUGUGUUAGUCUCUGCUGUAAAACAACGUGAGUCAGCCAUACGGACACACAUAUCCCCUCCUUCUAGAGCCUCCCUCCCACCCGCUCAUCACAGGGCACCGAGCUGAGCUCCCUGGGCUACACAGCAGCUUCCUGCUUGCUAUUUAUUUUACACAUGGUAGUGCAUAUAUGGGCCUUCCCUGGUGGCUCAGAUGGUAAAGAAUCUGCCUGCAAUGCCGGAGAUCUGGGAUCAAUCCCUGG